rnacentral:misc_RNA from 1 species
GCAUUCUUCUGUGGUGGACUUGUGGUUUGUGAGAGGGAACAAGUGUUUGAUAAGGGAACUGCUGCAGUGAAUUCUGGUUUGCUGUUGAUGGCAGUCAUGGGCCUUCUAUUCCCUGCUGUUCUCCACUCCACAAGAACAGAAUUGCAUUUUGGGAAGUCUGAGUUAGCUCUUUCAAGGUUUACUAGUUGCAUCAUGCUGGUUGCAUAUGCUGCAUUUCUCUAUUUUCAGCUGAAGAGCCAGAAAAAUCUUUAUGUUCCAGUGAAUGAGGGAGAGAGUCCAAGUUGGAAGACAGAUGAUGAGGAAGCUCCAGAGAUCUCAAAGUGGGAAGCAAUCAUAUGGCUAUUUCUUUUAACCGUAUGGAUUUCAGUCCUCUCAGAAUAUUUAGUCGAUGCCAUAGAGGGAGCAUCUACUGAAUGGAAAAUACCAGUAGCAUUUAUAAGUGUUAUCCUACUUCCUAUUGUUGGAAAUGCUGCGGAGCAUGCAGGUGCUAUCAUGUUUGCCAUGAAAGACAAGCUU